UCGCACUCUGCGCAAGGCUAAAUAUAGACCUUAUCUGUGACAAUGAACCUAACAGGCAACUUCGGUGCUGGACACGGUUUUCUGUAGAAAUCCUGAAAUAUACAGAGUGUAUUACCAUGUAUGCUUGCUUCUUUGAGUAUGUGCCUGAAACAAGAAUGUCCUGGAGAAAACAGACCACAACAAGAAAAGGGAUGGAGAGGAAGGGCUUGCUGUUGAGAGAUCAUGGAGUGCCUUGAGGUUCCACCUUCAGUCUUGAUGUUCUGCCCCUUACCUCAAAGCGAUGGCCUCUUGUGCCUGGCAAUAUAUGAGCGAAGCACAAUGGACUGGUGCCUGUACAUGUAAUGUAUUUCAUGCAAAUGAAGGGUAGAAUGAGAAGCUCACAAUGAUAUAGUAGACAAGGACCUUGCUGUCUAAAGCUCGGAGGCCAGAUGACAGUGUCUGAAGUAAGUCACCCCAUAGAAUAGCGAGAACUUUUUGUUGCAAUUGUUAACCAACACAUCCUUACCACAUGCAACCCAUCCCACUUUCACAAUAUAUUUUCUUAACAACAGUAACCCAAGUUCAACGUUUGGAUUGGUGAUUUUAAACAAAAAUGGGGGUGGUAGGGCGGUCAGCCUAGCAGUACAAGAUCUAAUUAUGUCAUAUGGCUGUAUCUUGGAUGUCCUGGAGGUAGUUGCCCGAGAAGUGUGAUAAAGAAAAAUAUGUUUGCAUACUAACAGUAAAAAAAAUAAAAAUGAUUGGACACCUUUGGUUGUAACAACUCAGAUCAGAAUGAGAUUUUUACACUGUAAAGUUGCCGGUGUCAAGUAUUUUUGGAAUUCAGUUCUAUGAUUUCUCUGUGAAUGCCAUUUUAAAAACAAUGGUCUGAAUGUUUAAUUAGAUCUUUUACACAAACGUAGUAUAUUAGUAAUGAAAGGCAUGUUUGGUAAUACAGUAAUUUCAUUUCAGACCAUGAAGACCAUGUAUUAUUAUAAUUAUCUGGGAUGUGUCGUUGGGCUGAUAAGCAUGGAAAAUAAGGAAUGUACUCCUGUCGAGCGAACAAUAUGUUUAUAUAAAACGAAUAACUCUUUGAAGAUUACUUACUAGAAGAAGUAGAACAAGAAGAAAAAGAAGAAGAAAUACACUGAUGAUGUCAGCUUUACUUCCUAAAGUUGUAUACUAUUUGAAAAUAGUUUAUAUUUUAUUCAUGAACAGCCGGCUUGUCAGAAUUGCGUACAAGGAUGCCAUUGUACUUUUCUGUACUAAAAGCUGAAGGGGAGCAGUCACCAGAAGGAACAUGCAACUCCAAAACAAUGUGGAUACUUCUACCGAGUUCAUCUCAAGAAUCGAGAUGUGACAGUGGAUGUACAUGUAGAGGGGUUUGCGACCCUCCUGACUGGGGACUACUUGCAAUACACAUAAACUCAAUCAAUGGAUUGUAGAGGAGUAAUGGUGGGUCCGGUGAGCUCAACUCUGGAGGUUAAGUUCGGAAAAUUAAUAAAGUUCCUUUUAAUAUGGGUGUAUAUGGUUCCAGGGAUUAAUUUGACGCAAUGUCUCGUAGUGACACGCCCUUUUAAGGGGCAACACACGUGUCAGAAGGUAUAAAAUGGGAAGCAGUUCCUGAAUUGGCACGAGCUUUUACUUUUCGGAUGACUUCCUCAUUUAGUUUCAUACCUCAUUUCCUUUGCCGCCAUGAGGUGCUAAAGUUUUAGCAGAGUUGGGGGCUUCCACCCCAUAGAUGUGACUUUUCAUGAUUAAAUGUAAUAAAUUGUAAUAAAGUUACUAUCCACUUCAA